rnacentral:rRNA from 1 species
GGGUCCUUUCGUGCUGAGCGUCAGUGUUAUCCCAGGGGGCUGCCUUCGCCAUCGGUAUUCCUCCACAUCUCUACGCAUUUCACUGCUACACGUGGAAUUCUACCCCCCUCUGACACACUCUAGCCGUGCAGUCACCAAUGCAAUUCCCAAGUUAAGCUCGGGGAUUUCACAUCGGUCUUGCACAACCGCCUGCGCACGCUUUACGCCCAGUAAUUCCGAUUAACGCUUGGACCCUACGUAUUACCGCGGCUGCUGGCACGUAGUUAGCCGGUCCUUAUUCUUCCGGUACCGUCAUCGACCCCAGGUAUUAACCAGAGCCAUUUCUUUCCGGACAAAAGUGCUUUACAACCCGAAGGCCUUCUUCACACACGCGGCAUUGCUGGAUCAGGCUUUCGCCCAUUGUCCAAAAUUCCCCACUGCUGCCUCCCA